CAUCUGAGUUCAUGGGAGGGUAUUCAGGCGUCUUUCCAAUGGGUGGUUAUCACAGACCCCGUGACGGUUUUUCUUUAAGUUUUCAGAGGUACAUGGAGUUCAUGGCACUCCACCCAGCAAACAGUCCACUGGUCUAAGAGCUUCCUGUCCCUAGAGGAAGGACUAUGACCCUGACGCUCUAUGGACUGAAGAAAUCUCAUCUUUAGCCAGGGUUCACGCAAAAGAUCUUGUCUAGACAGAUGCACAGCAGCAAUAGUCUAGAACUCAGCUCUGCCACUUCUCAGCUGUGUAACUUGAGGUCGUUACCCAGCUCCUUAUCUGUAAAUUGGGAGGAUUAACAGUACCUAAUUCUUAGAGUCCUUCUGGAGAUGGACCAAUUUAUUGAAAGCACAGAGCCAGGCGCACAGGAUUUCUCAUUAACUGGUAGCAGUUGGUUAUUAUUUUUAGCUACGUGGGGCAGGAGAGGCCACCCAGCCCAUCUGGCUAUGAGGCUCUUUAGCCCCCAUGACGCCCUGAACUCUCCAAAGCAUCUGAGGGACUUGGCCACUUUCCCCUGGAUGUCUGUGCGCUGGCCUGUGAGAUGAAGCCGCCUUCCCGACCACCUGUCUGGCACACAUCUGGGCUACACUGAUGGCAGACAGGGCUAUAUAAAGCAGCAGUUACCUCUUAACUGUGGGUUCUCGUGGACACAAUUGAUCUCUUGAAUACGCAUGGACUUGGGCUCCUGUAAACACCUGACUUCCCACAGUAAAUCUAUGCAAGUUCUCCAAAAUCUUCCACCGGCGUCCUAAAUUCAGCUCCUGCAACCCUGCUGCCAACGGAGCGAAAGAGUCAAAGAGGCCGCGUGCAUGAGGACUGUGCUGGUUUUCCGAUUCAAAGCUGGAGACUUUGUAGCAUCAGCACCGGUGGUGAAAAAUAGAGAUGGAAAU